UUCUGGAUAGCUCAGUUGGUUGGAGCGUGGUGCUCAUAAUGUCAAGGUUGCAGGUUCAAUCCCCUUAUUGGACA